AACGUAGGAGGCAAGCGUUAUCCGGAUUUACUGGGCGUAAAGCGCGUGCAGGCGGUUUGGAAAGUUGGAUGUGAAAGCUCCCGGCUUAACUGGGAGAGGUCGUUCAAAACUACCAGACUAGAGGGCGAUAGAGGGAGGUGGAAUUCCGGGUGUAGUGGUGAAAUGCGUAGAUAUCCGGAGGAACACCAGUGGCGAAAGCGGCCUUCUGGAUCGUACCUGACGCUCAGACGCGAAAGCUAGGGUAGCAAACGGG
rnacentral:rRNA from 2 species